rnacentral:rRNA from 1 species
UACAGAGGGUGCAAGCGUUAAUCGGAAUUACUGGGCGUAAAGCGUGCGUAGACGGUUACAUAAGUCGGGUGUGAAAGCCCCGGGCUCAACCUGGGAAUUGCAUUCGAGACUGCGUAGCUAGGGUACGGUAGAGGGAAGCGGAAUUUCCGGUGUAGCGGUGCAAUGCGUAGAUAUCGGAAGGAACACCAGUGGCGAAAGCGGCUUCCUGGACCAGUACCGACGUUCAGGCACGAAAGCGUGGGGAGCAAACAGG